GACGAACGCUGGCGGCGUGCCUAAUACAUGCAAGUUGAGCGCUGAAGGUUGGUACUUGUACCAACUGGAUGAGCAGCGAACGGGUGAGUAACGCGUGGGGAAUCUGCCUUUGAUCGGGGGACAACAUUUGGAAACGAAUGCUAAUACCGCAUAAAAACUUUAAACACAAGUUUUAAGUUUGAAAGAUGCAAUUGCAUCACUCAAAGAUGAUCCCGCGUUGUAUUAGCUAGUUGGUGAGGUAAAGGCUCACCAAGGCGAUGAUACAUAGCCGACCUGAGAGGGUGAUCGGCCACAUUGGGACUGAGACACGGCCCAAACUCCUACGGGAGGCAGCAGUAGGGAAUCUUCGGCAAUGGACGAAAGUCUGACCGAGCAACGCCGAGUGAGUGAAGAAGGUUGUCGGAUCGUAAAACUCUGUUGGUAGAGAAGAACGUUGGUGAGAGUGGAAAGCUCAUCAAGUGACGGUAACUACCCAGAAAGGGACGGCUAACUACGUG
rnacentral:rRNA from 1 species